rnacentral:lncRNA from 1 species
AAAAAAAAAAAUCCCAGCCCCACCCAGGAGGUUCUCAGAGUUCCAGAAGAUUCACUUUCAAUUGAAAUACCCCUAAACUUACUAGCUGCUUCCUGGAACACAGGUGGUUUUAGAUUCUGUGAAAAGUACCUUGUGGAUUGAAGGUUGGGGGAAGAAACGUUCAGAGGACUUUCUUCAUGCCCUGUCGCUGAUUCCCCACUGUGGGAGCAGGUGGGACACUGGGAUGCUGGGAAAGGAAUGGAACCUGCAUCGCUCAGCCUGUCCCUCGUGCUGUAUGCAUGGACCUGACCUGUCUAGGCUUCUGCAUCCUCCAGGCCUCAGCUCCAGGCUGACCCAGCUCCUGCCCAGGGAGAACUUCAAUAGUCCAGCUGCUCGGCUGAGUGGGUGGGUUAUUUCAAAGCAGGGGAGUGGGAAUAGGAAGCCCACUUGGGUUUUUGGGUCCUAGCCAUAUCCUCCGGUCCAUCUGGCCCCCAAAGAAAGCCAACAUUUGAAUCCCUGUGUGUCUCCUGUGACUAUUUCUCUACUGGAUCAAAACCUGGAGAAGUGUGUAUGGGGGGGGGGGUUGUGUGACUAACCAAGACCCACAAAACCCAACCUCUGUUGAAUACUUAGCUACAGUAAGAAAAGUCGCCG